rnacentral:rRNA from 1 species
UACGAAGGGGGCUAGCGUUGCUCGGAAUCACUGGGCGUAAAGCGCACGUAGGCGGAUUUGUAAGUCAGGGGUGAAAUCCCGGGGCUUAACCUCGGAACUGCCUUUGAUACUGCAAGUCUUGAGUCCGGAAGAGGUGAGUGGAAUUCCUAGUGUAGAGGUGAAAUUCGUAGAUAUUAGGAAGAACACCAGUGGCGAAGGCGGCUCAAUGGUCCGGUACUGACGCUGAGGUGCGAAAGCGUGGGGAGCAAACAGG